CAUAUGAGCGCUGCACCUCCGUUUUCCCACACUCCCAGCUUUCCCUGGCACGACCCAAACUCCACACAACAAACACAGGUACUGAAUAACCAUUUAGCGCCUCAAUUUACUACACACUUUUUAUCCCAUGGGAUCAUAGGAGGCAGCACUUCCUCCCAUGACGUCAGUAUGUGUAGCAGCGGAAGUAGGCGUUCCCGGAGCAGCAUGGAUAGAGAGCACAGAAGGUCAGUGUCGCUGUUUCUGUUAUAGCCGCGUGGCUUUGGCGGGACUUUAUUUUAUGCUUCGGCCAUGCGCGUGUGUAUAAAAGUGCGUUUCCUUCCAAAUUGCCUGAAGAUUUAGACACAGAUCGUCUGCUCAAAGCGAUGCAGCACUUCCGUUGUUAGUGCAAGGAAACCCACGGCCUGACUUGUUUCUCUCAUAGGAUAACAAAGACGUGGUGAGGCACAAUGGUAAGACAUAGUAAGUUACAAAAGCAAAUUCUAAGUCUUUACAGACAGUUUUUACAAGCUGGGAAAGAGAAACCUGGGUUUGUACCCCGAAUCCGAGAUGAAUUCAGAAAAAAUGCAAAGAUCCCAAAGACAGAUGUAAUGCACAUAGAGUAUCUUCUGCGGCGGGGCCAACGGCAACUGCAACAACUACAGGAUGUAAAUACGAAACAACUGGGAACCUUCAUCAAAUCCCCCACUGACUGGAACCAUUAAUAUCAUUGUAUUUCUCAUAUUUGUAUAAAUGUAAUUACUCAUUAUAUAUAAAUUAUAUAUAACAAAUCGUUGCUCUUUAAUGGACUUAGUAUUUCUUAGGCAGGAUUAAUAUACAUUUCCAAAAGUACUAUCUGCAUAGCGAUGGCACAGUGAUCUUACCAAUAUGGCAGCCUUACCUACACUACUGCUGCUGUUGCUGCUGCUGCUACUACUACUACUGCUGCUGCUGCUGCUAGUAGUAGUGGUGGUACUAGUAAUGGCAUUUAAUUUCUAUUGUGCAGUAAGAGAUAUGGGCUAGCAAAGCUCAAUAGAGCCGAUAAUGGAUAAUUAAUGUCACAACUGUCACAUCACGAAGUAAAAAGGACAAGAGCAGAACUAUGUGGCGGCCUAGCAGAAAAAGGUUUACAGAGACACGGUGCCUCAAUACAGGGAAGCAAUUAUGUCACCAAAACCUGGAGACAAUUGUGCCUCUGGGCUAUAAAUACUGACAUUCUUGGUGAUACAAUUAAUGGCAGAUCUCAAAAGCAAUGGUUCAAUCAUCUUAAUACUAUUAUAUACAAAUGGAAACUUUUUUACGUGAGAGGGGUUAGCAAAUCUCUAAUGCUGGCCAUAGAAGUAAUAAUAUAUGAAAUGAUCAUUGGUGCUUGUAUGACGGCCCACUAAUCACCGUGUACUGUGGAUAUUAGUUGGUGUGGGGAAGUUUUGAAGAUAAGUCCUGUUUGCUCCUUGUGUGUUCUCCAAUUGGCCUGUAUUUUCAUUGGAGAGUUUACACCUUUAAACAUGUCCAUAUAGCCAUACUCACAUCCUACUAAGCCUUUAUUAGUUUUGAUACAGACACUGGAAGACUAGCCAAGUAUUUUAAAGGGUAACUCCAGCUUCCAAACCAAAAUGUGAUAAAGAGGCCCAUAUAGAAACCACUAAUAUCCGUUACAGUUCAAAAAGUAUGAAUAAAUGCCAUUUUCUAUGCU